rnacentral:rRNA from 1 species
UACAGAGGUCUCGAGCGUUGUUCGGAUUCAUUGGGCGUAAAGGGUGCGUAGGUGGUAGGGCAAGUCGGAUGUGAAAUCCCGGAGCUUAACUCCGGAACUGCAUUCGAUACUGCCUUGCUGGAGUACUGGAGAGGAGAUCGGAAUUUACGGUGUAGCAGUGAAAUGCGUAGAUAUCGUAAGGAAGACCAGUGGCGAAGGCGGAUCUCUGGACAGUUACUGACACUGAGACACGAAGGCCAGGGGAGCAAACGGG